rnacentral:rRNA from 1 species
AAAGGAAUUGACGGGGACCCGCACAAGCGGUGGAGCAUGUGGUUUAAUUCGAAGCAACGCGAAGAACCUUACCUGCUCUUGACAUCCCUCUGACCGGCACGUAAUGGUGCCUUCCCUUCGGGGCAGAGGAGACAGGUGGUGCAUGGUUGUCGUCAGCUCGUGUCGUGAGAUGUUGGGUUAAGUCCCGCAACGAGCGCAACCCUUAUCCUCAGUAGCCAGCAGUACGGCUGGGCACUCUGGGGAGACUGCCGGGGAUAACCCGGAGGAAGGUGGGGAUGACGUCAAAUCAUCAUGCCCCUUAUGAGCAGGGCUACACACGUGCUACAAUGGCGUAAACAAAGGGAAGCGAGACCGCGAGGUUCAGCAAAUCCCAAAAAUAACGUCUCAGUUCGGAUUGUAGUCUGCAACUCGACUACAUGAAGCUGGAAUCGCUAGUAAUCGCAGAUCAGAAUGCUGCGGUGAAUACGUUCCCGGGUCUUGUACACACCGCCCGU